UAUAUUGACUAUUCUAGGUCUUUGGUAAUCCUUAUAAAUUAAUAAUCAACUUGUAAAUAUUUGCAAAAUGUUUGCAAAACUCUAUAAAGAAGAUUAAAAAUAGAAGGUUAGUGGUUUCCUGGAGAGAGGGAGACAGGAGUGUUGAAUAGAUGAAGCACUAGGGAUUUUUUAGGGUGGUGAAAAUAUCCUGUACAAUAUUGUAAACGUGGCCAAAUGACACUUUGCCAAAACACAUUGAACUUUGCAGUUCAAAGAGUGAAAAUCCAUACAAAUUUUAAAAAUCAUUUAAGAGUUUGGGAGAAUCUCAGGAUGAAAUGCAAAAUGUGACA
rnacentral:lncRNA from 1 species